rnacentral:rRNA from 1 species
CUGACUGCUAUCGGAUUGAUACUAAGCCAUGCGAGUCUUUGUAGUAAUACAAGGCAGACGGCUCAGUAACACGUAGUCAACCUACCCUAUGGACAAGAAUAAUCUCGGGAAACUGGGCAUAAUUCUUGAUAGAUCAUAAUGCCUGGAAUGGUUUAUGGUUAAAAUGAUUCGUCGCCAUAGGAUGGGACUGCGGCCUAUCAGCUUGUUGGUGAGGUAAUGGCCCACCAAGGCGAUUACAGGUACGGGCUCUGAGAGGAGAAGCCCGGAGAUGGGUACUGAGACACGGACCCAGGCCCUAUGGGGCGCAGCAGGCGAGAAAACUUUGCAAUGUGCGAAAGCACGACAAGGUUAAUCCGAGUGAUUUCUGCUAAAGAAAUCUUUUGCCAGUCAUAAAACCACUGGUGAAUAAGGGGUGGGCAAGUUCUGGUGUCAGCCGCCGCGGUAAAACCAGCACCUCAAGUGGUCAGGAUGAUUAUUGGGCCUAAAGCAUCCGUAGCCGGCUUUGUUAGUUUUCGGUUAAAUCCAUGUGCUCAACGCAUGGGCUGCCGAAAAUACUGCAUAGCUAGGGAGUGGGAGAGGUAGACGGUACUCAGUAGGAAGGGGUAAAAUCCUUUGAUCUAUUGAUGACCACCUGUGGCGAAGGCGGUCUACCAGAACACGUUCGACGGUGAGGGAUGAAAGCUGGGGGAGCAAACCGGAUUAGAUACCCGGGUAGUCCCAGCUGUAAACGAUGCAGACUCGAUGAUGCAUUGGCAUAAUAGCCAGUGCAGUGUCGCAGGGAAGCCGUUAAGUCUGCCGCCUGGGAAGUACGUACGCAAGUAUGAAACUUAAAGGAAUUGGCGGGG